GAACGCACAUUGCGCCCCUUGGUAUUCCAUGGGGCAUGCCUGUUCGAGCGUCAUUUGUACCCUCCAGCCCUGCUGGGUGUUGGGCGUUUGUUCCGCUGUGCGCGUGAACUCGCCUCAAAUGCAUUGGCAGCCCGCCGUCCCGUGUGGGAGCGCAGCACAUUUUGCGUUCUCCACUGCUGAUGGUAGCAUCCACAAGUCUACAUUUUUACGCUUGACCUCGGAUCAGGUAGGGAUACCCGCUGAACUUAAG
rnacentral:misc_RNA from 1 species